UCCUGGGCUGUUUUCUCAUAGAAGAGGAUC
rnacentral:piRNA from 1 species